AUGAGAACCAUAGAGGAGAUUGUUCGAGCCCUUGAAGUACCAUCCACCGGUAGAAUUCAACCUGCCAUCCUUCCAACAUGGCAGCCGCCGGAUGUGGGGUGGGCAAAAAUAAAUACAGAUGGAGCUGCGGACUCGGAGCAUGGCAAAGGUGGUGCAGGUUUUGUCGUACGAGACCAUCAGGGGGCGUUUGUGAGCGCGGGGUGCUCACGAUAUGAUGGAAUUUCAGACCCGCUCACGAUCGAGCUCCUCGCAUGCAGAGACGCGCUGGCAGCAGCGCAGAACUCAGGGCUGCAGUACGUGGAGAUGGAGACGGAUUGCCAACAAAUCCAGAACCUAUGGGAAUCUCCUCAGAAGUCAAGUUUUUUCCACCUCAUUAGAGAGAUGAGGGAUAUAUGUAAUUUCUUUCAGGGAUUCAAGCUUCGGUAUGCUUGCCGGCAGACUAAUUCGGCCGCCCACCAUGUAGCGAGGCAUGCGUUAAAUCUUUCUGUAUCUAUGAUUAUGUACGAUGUAAUCCUUGGGUGGCUGACUGAAACUUUACAGUCAGACAUGCUAGCGCCUGAUGAAUAA
rnacentral:rRNA from 1 species